GGGCCUAUAGCUCAGUUGGUUAGAGCGUCCGCCUGAUAAGCGGGAGGUCGGUGGUUCGAAUCCACUUAGGCCCA
rnacentral:tRNA from 1 species